rnacentral:rRNA from 1 species
GACGAACGCUGGCGGCGUGCCUAAUACAUGCAAGUCGAGCGGACAGAAGGGAGCUUGCUCCCGGAUGUUAGCGGCGGACGGGUGAGUAACACGUGGGUAACCUGCCUGUAAGACUGGGAUAACUCCGGGAAACCGGAGCUAAUACCGGAUAGUUCCUUGAACCGCAUGGUUCAAGGAUGAAAGACGGUUUCGGCUGUCACUUACAGAUGGACCCGCGGCGCAUUAGCUAGUUGGUGGGGUAAUGGCUCACCAAGGCGACGAUGCGUAGCCGACCUGAGAGGGUGAUCGGCCACACUGGGACUGAGACACGGCCCAG